rnacentral:lncRNA from 1 species
AUGAGUAAUGUUCGAGAAAGAAAAUGGCGUGUGGUGUUGAGAAAAUUUGUUGCAAGAAAAGUGAAAGAGUAAAAGACUACUAAGAUUUUCUAAUAAUCUGAAGUAAUUGAGAAGUAAUAAUCUAGUAAUUGGGCAAUUAAAGUCACUUUUACCCCAAAUUCUUGUUUUUUUCCUGCCUGAUUGAGUGAUUGACUAAUGGAAAACAAAGAUAAUUAAUCAAGCAGAUUUCUAUGGCCCAAUAGGGCUCACAAAGAACAAUGGAAACCAAACUUCAAAUGUCAGAUCCCCAAAUAAAAACAGUCAAAGUUUUUCGUUACUAAUUAAAGUGCUCUUAAACUGACACGACGAGAAAGGCUUCAAUUCCCUGAGAUGUCAAAGGAAACCGGCGUCUUAAAUGCCAAGUGUGUCACUACUCUGGGUAACAACCCAGAGUCUAAACUUUGGAGAACAUGAACUCACUCAACCGGAUGGAAAUGCGUACCUCAAAUCGCCCAGCAACGAUUGAUGAUCCACAUCCAUCCACUCCAAAUCGAAUGCGACAUGGCAGAAGACAAGAAAUUAACUCCAAACUAAUAUGUGCCGCCGCAGUUAUGCAAUUGAGCGGCGAUCCGGGGGGGGUGAGCGAGCGGUUUCCGUGCCAAUCAAUGUGCGAUAGCGAAUAUGAAACGUUUACGAACUGCGACAUCAUCAUCCAUCAGACGGCAAUUGACGUCAGCGAGGACGUGAUCACUUCCCAAACUAUACCGGAAGCCAUACUACUUUAUAGCCCCUGCGAUCGUGAAACUUUGAUGACGCUCAAACCCCAUUCUUCCAGUUAUUGCCCAUAGGAAAGUGGCAUCGCGUGAUGUGUAUCGUGCGACGACCGUCAACAUCUACAUUAACCCAAUCGCCGAUAACCGCAGCUUAACCGAACUAAUGACGUGUUAAAGAGGCUCAGGUAAUAUAAUAUCCACGUCUAACUACGUCAUAUAAUAGAAAUAUAUAGCCGACGGACUAUUAGCUCGGGGAUUAUCCUCAAUAGUGGGUAGGCGCAAUAUCCAUCCCGGCACGACCACCCACGGCCAGCACGCGUAGACUAUAUAGGAUAUACAUGUUCGCCGAGCGCGUGUUGUGUGUCGUUAACAGCAGCAUGUGUAUGUAUAUAAAGGAUGUAAAAGGGGCCUUUUAUGCACACACACACAAUAGGACUCGGUACACACAGCCGGAGAAUAAGCACCCACACAGCACAGAAAGAUCCUCUCUAACUGCACACACACAUAUUAUAAGGACCGCCGAAAGUAUAUAGCACCGGGAGUAUAUAGUUGGCUGACUCUCCCGGAGUCUUAUAUAAUGUUCUCAACUGAUGGAGGAUGUCACAAAAGGGCGGGCCCGGCUAAUAAAUAGUCGACGUUGUCGGGAUAUAUAGAACUCAUCCAAGUGGAAAUCGAUUGGCCGUGACAUGUUGCUGACUUAAUCAGUUUGACUCUCCUAGGAAAGGGAAAGGAUAACCCCCCCAAAUAAAAAUGAGUUCCGAUAUUUUAUCAGAUUUUCAAUCCGUCCCGAUCAUUUGACGUCCGAAAUAAAGGUCUCUGAGAACCACACGCUUAUAGUUAACAAAACAUCUUGGUCUGUAUUAUUAUAUGAUGUGCUGUGAUGUGUGUGUACUAUUCGUACGUUUAAAGCUAAUGUUGUCUCUCGUCUAAACGUCCGCUUCGGUUACGUUGCGAGGGACCGGAGCGAGCGAGCGGCCACACAACGUGCGGGAUAUUUUUUCUAUAGUCGCCGCGCCCGUUGUGUGUAGCUGCGCUGCGCGUUCGGGUUGCCGUGGAGAAUCCUACGGCGCACGUCUGAAAUUCUUCUGACGCAUAUUAUUGACAUAAAGAUUUCCCCUCCCCCCUUCUUCUCUCUGUGUGUAGUCUAUACUACAUACCCCUUUCUCUCUCGUUGGCUAUUCUCUACGGAACUCGAAACUCUUUUCGUUCGUUCGUUUUUCCCCCUCCAUCCAGCUUGCGCAACCCGCGUUUCUUCUUUUUACCCCCCGGUUACAUGUAUGUUGUAUACUAUAGACACACACACACAUUUUCUAACCAAUAAAUGCAGGGCGGAACCCUAUAUUGUCUAUACUAUAGACGUUAUAUUCUCUUUUUUAUUAUUUUUUGAAUUUUCCAACUGAUGCGGCAAACCGAAUUUUUUAUUUAUUUUCUCUAUAAUGCAAAAUGGCCGCCACCGAUAUCCUGGCUGGCUGUAUGUAUACAUGCAGCAACUGAUGUGCGCUCUCUCUCUGCUGGUGUAUUGGUUCUUCUUUUCCCUUUAUCCUCUUUUUCUUAUUAUACGACGCGUGCUAGAUCUCUUAUAUAAUAUAGCUGCGUAUACAGCAGUCAGCCAUAGCCAGCCAUAGCCAGCCCCCUCCCGCCGGUUCUUCUUCUUCUUAUAUUAUACACCACCACACAUUUUCUCUUCUUCUUUUUGCCUUCGAUUCUUUCAAUCACGUCGGCUGUUUCUCCUUCUGUUCAACACAAGAUCCUCCUCCCAGCACAUUCUAUAUAUUAUCCCUUUUUUUAUUUAUUUUCUGAUUUAUAUUUAAUGUACAGACCGCCGUCUGCACUCCCUUACUCUUUUGUUUGCGGCUUUUUUGUGUUCGUCUUUUCUUAUUUUGGCAGCUCCAAAACGCGGACGACGUCUCGCGUGAAUUCUAUUAUGCAGUCCCGCGUGAUCACAACUGUGACAAAAGAGAGAAUAAAAGCUCGGAGGGAUAUAUACUGAUCUCUGCGGGAGUCUUUAAAAUCUCUUUUUUUUUCUUUUCUUUUAUAAAUCAUCGACAUCUCGGGAGUCACGCAAUAACCCGCGAAAAUUUGAAAAAACAAAAAAACAAAAAUUGGUCAACUAUAAUGCGCGGUUCUAUUGGACGAGUAUCUGUGUAUGCGUGUUUUUAAAGCUUUUAUUUUUUCUGCUCCUUGACGUUGAAAUUGACAAAAGAAAACGGGAGCGAAACCCCACAGCAGCUGAUGCCCAUCAAUGGCGGAUGUGUUUAUGUACAUUCACCGGUCGAUGUCGUUUUUCGACUUUCGGUUUUUGUAGAGUUUCUGUUUGACCAGCCCGCGUGUGCUGUUUAUAUUCUUUGCUGGGGGUGGUGGGUUCGUCAAUAAAUCACGUCGACACCCCGAUACGACCAUCCGGUUGACUGUUGUCUAUACAUCCCAUAUUAUCUUGUCCUUGGCUCUUCUCCACUAUUAACUAUGCAUCGUUGUUUAUAUCAAUAAUAACAAUGGAGCGGAUGUUGUUUGUAUAUGCUGCUGCUGAGCUGGAGACGCUCCCGAUGACCUUUUUUGUGUCUGCUGUUUUUCUCUCUCCCGAGUCCGGAUUGCGUUUUAUCGUUUCCCGUGUCUGUCAGCGAUGCUCGACAUUGAUCAAGCAGCUCGAAAAAAGAAUAAAGAGAAGCGCAGCAGCAGCACAACUAUUCACAUCAUUAUGUACAUUUAUCGGCGUGAUGAAUAAAUCAGACAACCAAACGACGACAUUAACAGAAACGAAAAUCCAACGCCAAUUAAAAUCACAAAUUCACGUUAUUAUGAAGCCAAGACGAGAUCGCCCUUGUUAUUAUGAAUAAUUACGGAGGAAUAGAUAUUAUAUAACGGUAAUCUAUAACAACGAGUUGAUGGUUAUCUCUCCAUCAGCUGAAUAAUCAUUCUCGUCAGAUUUUCGCUUUCUCUCUUUACAGUCUAGACAGGUCGACGAGCCUAAGAUAUCUCUUAUAGGCUCGUCAUGCUCCGCUAUUGGAUGACUCAUCCAUCUCGCGGAUGGCGAGUGCUCCUGCCAGAGAGCGACGAGAUGGAAGGAAGAUAUAGGCAAUCCUAUAAGAUGCUGUGUACUGUGCAUAUAGGACCGGGGGGUCGAGAUUGGCCGUCAACUUCAUAUAUCCCUCCGCUUCUUCGCUGCUGCUGGAAACAUCUUGGCUGGUGGUGGUGGCUGAACCGCGUUUUAUCCGUGAGUGGAAUGAGAAGGAUCUCUCUCAUUCUUGGUGAUGGGAGAGAUGAGAGAAGGAAGAGCCCGCAGAGCGGAAUGAAGAACAAGAACCGCGUCUCAAUCCUAUACUCUAGAUAUAUACUUAUGGCGCUCGUCGUCGUUUGUCGUUCUCUUUUCUUUCCAGCAAAACACUUGGGCAAAUGGGUCGCUAACCUCUUCGCCAAGUGCUCCUGCCACUGGGCUAAUUAUCUGCACUACAACUUGACUUAUUUGAUUGGCCGCUAAACGGUUUCAAUAGAUUCUUUGAUGAAUAAUCCAAAGUCAAAUGGCCACACAAGUCACUGAUUUCAUGAUUCCCACAAGUUGGACAGGUAUAAGAAAAUAUAUUUUGACCAAGUUUGUUAUAUUAUAAAUCCCUAAAUGAAAAGUCAAAAUAGAAAAACUAGUUGAUUUGUUUGAUGUGUGUGUAGCAAAUCAAAGUUGCUUGUAUGUACGUUCGCAUAUGUCGAUGGCGCGCGGAAUAAAAAGCCAAAAGUUUGCGCAACUUUUCUUCUCUUGUAUAAAGAAUGCGAGGGAGGCAAGUUUACAGUAAGUACACAUAUUAUUAUUAAACGACGUCUAUAUAGUUUCACGUUCAACAGUAUAUCGAAAAGUUCAAAUCUUAAAAAAUCUAAAAAUAAGAAGAAGGUAAGCAUAAAGAGACCUUUCUUCGGUCCUCUUGGAGUCGCUCUUGACUUUAGACUGAUCCGCUUUUCUGCUGCUGGGCCCACCCAAGUUUGAGAGAGAGGCACGCGACGCCCUGCAGAGCGUGGGAGCGUCUUUAUAUAGCCUAACCCCCCAGCCCCCCACCACCAUCAACUCCUUCGCCAUCGAAACGUGCGCGUCUUCCACGGCUACUUGUUUGAUCUCCUCCUUAUUCUUAAACCGUCGGAAGAAAUAAAUAAACAAGAAACGCUUAAAAAUGUAAUAUUCUUUGACUUCAAUGCCGACCUUUUUCAUUUUCUUUCGAAUCUCGUUUGCAAAAGUCAAUUUAUUUAAGGAACUGAAUUUCCCAGAUGCUAAAUUAUAAGUAAGUGAAAUGCUUGGCGUCAAUGUGGGUGUUUCUGUUGAACACUGCGCAGUUGAUAUAGGAGUAGAAUGUGAAUAUUUAAUGAUGUAAUCAAAUUUGAAAACUAAUAGCGAAUACCUUUCGGAUGAGAUGAUCAAAUGAGCUUACAAACUCAUGACUCUAUAACUGCAAGUAUAUGCCUGUAAAACUCCUUGGGGAGUGACAACCUUGUUAAUUAUUUGAUGGCCCCAAGACACCGCAGUUUUCAAUCUCUUAGAGAUUUCGCCAACACAAAAUUCAAAGGAAAGCUUUUUCCUUUUGUGCCCUUUUCUUUUGUAAUCAGUCUGCUAUUCAACGUUCACGUGGCCCAUCAUAAUAGAUUACUGGACAAUGAACACGACACUUGGAAUUGAUGGCUGUAAGAAUAUGCCAAGAAAUCAAGUCUAAUAUGGAUCGGAUUAAUACGCCAGCAGUUAAAUUCCAGUGCAAUAGCGAAUCACCGCCAAGAGCAAUGGUUGCGCAAUCGGUCGGUUCACUCGAUAUUGUUCGUUAAAUAAGAAGCUAUCAACAAUAAUCCGAUGAGAAAACAAGUCAAACUGAUGCAAAGUUCAUUUGAAACCCUUCUGCUGUUUAAAUUAUCAAAUGAUUUAGUAGUUCCCUGAAUUCCCAUCAGCGGUGAUGACCCAGUCCUCCCUUCAUUUGUUAUAAAUAUCUACCGUUAUUGUUGCCUCAUAGCUAAUCGGCUCCUAAAUUGGUUUAAAAAAGAAAACACCCGCCUUCCACACGACCAAAGCUAAUAAUGAGAUCGUAAAAUCGGCUACUUUGAUGUCCAAUGUGUUUUUAAAUGGGGAUGCAAUACUUUUUAAAAAAUUCGGCCUUACUUAAACUUUCGAUCUCAAUUUUUCCCCUACCCUCUAUUACCGCGGCUGAUGUCAUCAGGCCCCACAUCUCCGAGCUAUGAUUGCUGUACAGUGGCCCAUCAAUAGACUAUACUAUAUAUAGACUCAAUUUGCACUAUAGUCUUCUUUUUGGUUUUCGGUUUUAUAGAUGAAUGGUUGUUAGGAAAAAGGAAAAAGAUGGCAGGGUUGUUUUUAUGUGUUGUGUCUAAGGUCUAUCCGAGCCAACACUGUUCAACUAUUAUUAUUGAUAUAUAUAUAAACAGCGAGAGAAGACGAGCGCCAACUUAUUGAUCGGGCGCGCGGGUUCUCGCCGCUUUCACAUCCCAGCAGCAUAGCACUCCCGACACGACAGUAGUACGUGCUGUAAAUGUGCAUCGACAUUAAUACACGAGGAGAGAGAGAAGAGAGAGAUAACACAACGCACUCGAGAGUUAUUUUCAGUUAUCCGAUGUAUGUGUACGUAUUUAUUACGAAACUAUAUUUUAAUUAGAAAAUAUAUAAGAAGUUGGAGUCACCACCACCACCACCCCGGAAACAUUUUUUGUAUUCGUCUGGAUCGACGGACAAACAAAACAAUCAUUCCGGAACAUUUUUUGGCCAGUGCUGGGAGUCAACACACACCACCAAACAACAAAAUAGAAUUUUUUUCCUUUAUGAAAAGAAAAAGAAGAAAAAAAAACUGGACCAUAUGUUUUUAUAGGUCGUCUGGAUUGAAUGUUGAGAGAGCGAUAGCCCUGCGGCUAUGUGUGCGUGAUGGGAUAUAUAUUCAGACGCCAAAAAGAUUCCCGUAUUCUUUUUUUUUUUGACAUAUAGGACCGUAGCAGUUAGACAUAAAUAAGAGCUCGAGAUGUUACUGGCCUGCUCCAACUGUGGGCAUUGAUCAAACGAAAUUCAUUCAAUAUGUAUAGAACGGGAGAAGAAAAGUGGGCGAAUUGAGACAACAGAGGGAGGAUCCUCAAAUCGGAAAUCCAUCAUCGAGGCCAGUCGACACCAGACUGCUGUGCAAUCGCCUGAUGACAUCAUCAUAUAACGAACGAUAUAUAAUAGAAGGAAAUCCGAAUUUUAUAUAGAUCAUCCCUUUGACCGGAAAUCAAAUAAAAUGUACUACGUAGUAUAUAAGAGAUACGUCCGGACGUGACGGCGAUGUUGCGUGCGUGAUAAUAAUCUAGCCGACGGAUCUUGUCGCCUUUUUCUCU